CCCUUAGAUGUUCUGGGCUGCACGCGCGCUACACUGAAGCGUUCAACGAGUAUUCACCUUGCCCGGGAGGGUUGGGUAAUCUUUUGAAAACGCUUCGUGAUGGGGAUAGAUUAUUGCAAUUAUUAAUCUUCAACGAGGAAUUCCCAGUAAGUGCGGGUCAUCAGCUCGCGUUGAUUACGUCCCUGCCCUUUGUACACACCGCCCGUCGCUGCCCGGAACUGAGCCGUUUCGAGAAGACUGAGGAUUGCUGACUUGAGGCCUUCACGGGCUUCUAGUCGGUGAAAAGCAAUUUAAUCGCAGCGGCUUGAACCGGGCAAAAGUCGUAACA
rnacentral:rRNA from 1 species